ensembl:snRNA U2 U2 spliceosomal RNA
AUCGCUUCUCGGCCUUUUGGCUAAGAUCAAGUGUAGAAACGGUUUCCUCAAAAAUCACAUAAUUGAUUUUUUAAAUUUUUUUGAGAUGGAGUCUCACUCUGUCACCCAGGCUGGAGUGCAGUGGCAUGAUCUCGGCUCACUGAAACCUCUACCUCUG